rnacentral:rRNA from 1 species
UACGUAGGGUGCGAGCGUUGUCCGGAAUUACUGGGCGUAAAGAGCUCGUAGGUGGUUUGUCGCGUUGUCCGUGAAAACUCACAACUCAAUUGUGGGCGUGCGGGCGAUACGGGCAGACUGGAGUACUGCAGGGGAGACUGGAAUUCCUGGUGUAGCGGUGGAAUGCGCAGAUAUCAGGAGGAACACCGGUGGCGAAGGCGGGUCUCUGGGCAGUAACUGACGCUGAGGAGCGAAAGCGUGGGGAGCGAUCAGG